UUUCGUGUGAACAGCCGUUGCACACGAGUCAGUCGAUCCUAAGCCCUAGGGGAAACCCGAUGCAUGCCGACCCUCGGUCGCGCAGGGCGAAAGGGAAUCCGGUCCCCAUUCCGGAACCCGGUCGCGGAACCGUCCUACGUCGGGCCCCCCGCCUUCAACGGCGCGUGCUCGUCGGGGUAACCCAACCAGACCCGGAGAAGCCGUCGGGAAGCCUGGGAAGAGUUUUCUUUUCUGUUUGAGCGUUCGAGUUCCCUGGAAUUGCCUAGCGCAGAGAGAGGGAAUGGAACGCGUAGAGCACCGCAGUUGCGGCGGUGUCCAGGCGCGCCCUUCGGACCUUGAAAAUCCGGGGACGGGCCACGUGGAGGUCUCGCGCCGGCUCGUACCCAUAUCCGCAGCAG
rnacentral:rRNA from 1 species